rnacentral:rRNA from 1 species
AGAGUUUGAUCCUGGCUCAGGAUGAACGCUAGCUACAGGCUUAACACAUGCAAGUCGAGGGGAAACGGCAUUUAGUGCUUGCACUGAAUGGACGUCGACCGGCGCACGGGUGAGUAACGCGUAUCCAACCUUCCCAUUACUGUGGGAUAACCUGCCGAAAGGCAGACUAAUACCUCAUAGUCUUCGAUGACGGCAUCAGAUUUGAAGUAAAGAUUUAUCGGUAAUGGAUGGGGAUGCGUCUGAUUAGCUUGUUGGCGGGGUAACGGCCCACCAAGGCAACGAUCAGUAGGGGUUCUGAGAGGAAGGUCCCCCACAUUGGAACUGAGACACGGUCCAAACUCCUACGGGAGGCAGCAGUGAGGAAUAUUGGUCAAUGGGCGAGAGCCUGAACCAGCCAAGUAGCGUGCAGGAUGACGGCCCUAUGGGUUGUAAACUGCUUUUGUAUGGGGAUAAAGUCAAUCACGUGUGAUUGUUUGCAGGUACCAUACGAAUAAGGACCGGCUAAUUCCGUGCCAGCAGCCGCGGUAAUACGGAAGGUCCGGGCGUUAUCCGGAUUUAUUGGGUUUAAAGGGAGCGUAGGCUGGAGAUUAAGUGUGUUGUGAAAUGUAGACGCUCAACGUCUGACUUGCAGCGCAUACUGGUUUCCUUGAGUACGCACAACGUUGGCGGAAUUCGUCGUGUAGCGGUGAAAUGCUUAGAUAUGACGAAGAACUCCGAUUGCGAAGGCAGCUGACGGGAGCGCAACUGACGCUGAAGCUCGAAGGUGCGGGUAUCGAACAGGAUUAGAUACCCUGGUAGUCCGCACAGUAAACGAUGGAUGCCCGCUGUUGGUACCUGGUAUCAGCGGCUAAGCGAAAGCAUUAAGCAUCCCACCUGGGGAGUACGCCGGCAACGGUGAAACUCAAAGGAAUUGACGGGGGCCCG